GAGCGCGGGCGGCCUCCCGGGAGCUCACCUUUCGGGCGGGCCCGGGGAAGUCGCGGGUGGGAGCGGGAGGCGGGGGCGGCGAGGGGGCGCCCCGGGCAGACGCGGCCCCCUGGGGGUCGUGCCCCUCGCCCCUUCCGCCGCCGGCCCGGCCGACCCCCGCCGCGGGGCGUGUGUGCGCGCGGGGAGAGACUGCAGAGGCCGGGUGACUCGUGCUGAAGGAGAAAGGCAACAAAAAAUAAAAAAGGAACAGAUGACUUCAUUCUCGGGAAGGCUCCGUCCUACGUGGACCAAUUUCCUGGGGACAGCUCGGCUGCCGUUGGAAGCACUUAAAACUAAACCAGAUAAAGACCAGAAAAUUCUCAGCAUUGCCUGAGCCGAUCAAGGGCAGGGACAAACCCGGCAGAGGCUGGGGAACGAAAGCCAGUGGCUGGCCUGGGAGCCUUGGAAGAGGGACACAAGGCUUGGGAUUUGGUCACCGCAGCCUCUCCUGGUCUCUUGGCUUUAGAUGAUCGACCAGGGCUUUUCCAGGCCCAGGAUCGCCUCUCCAGACUCCCCGGGAGUCUAAAGGGACAAGCCGGUUCCCGACUAAGGCAAGAUAAAGUUAUCUUCAGCUCCGUUCCCAGCAACCACCAGUUCUCAGCUUUGGAGCCCUUCCUGAAUGCAUGAAUCAAAAGCCUUGGGCUCCAAGAAAAGAGAGUUACCCCCCCCCCCCCACUCCCCAGUCCUUCCCCAGUCCUUUACUGCCAGCUCCAUGAUAUGGGAAGGUAGCACCGCCCUCCACUCCUCCCCCUGGGCUGGCCUUCCAAGCAAAACUCAUCUCUGGCCACAGGUUUAGAGUUUAGCUGAUGUGAGAGUCCUGCCCCUGGGCAGUGUGUGAAUAGGACUGAGAUGACAGAUGACACCCAGCAUCAUCCAGAGGUAGGAGGACCUUGGAGAUUAUGCAGACCAACCACUCCUGCGUCCCUGUUUUACAGGUGGGCAAACUGAGGCCCAGAGAAGGGAAGAGACCUGACUGAGAUCUGCCACUGGUUAGAGGUGUUCUUGCCUUCCAUUAGGGUGCUUCACUACCCCACUCUGAUCCUUCUGUGGAAUUAUCUGUACGGAUCAGAAGUUCAGGAGCUGGGGGGCAGGAGGCUCUGAAGUCAGACUGCCUAAGUUCAAGUACUUACUUCUAAGUGAGACCUGGGACAAAUGAAUUUUUCUCUCUGAGCCCCCACGGUCUUGUGUGUUAAGUGGGGAUGAUGGUACCAGCCCUGGGUUGUCUUAAGGAAUAAAGGUGGUCCAGGAAAAGUCCUGGGAC